rnacentral:rRNA from 1 species
GACCUGCCCACUGAGGAAUUAAAUGGCCGCGGUAUUUUGACCGUGCAAAGGUAGCAUAAUAAUUAGUUUUUUAAUUGAAAGCUGGAAUGAAAGGUUGGAUGAGAAAAUAACUGUCUCUAUUUAGAUUAAUUAGAAUUUUAUUUUUAAGUAAAAAAGCUUAAAUAAUAAUAGAAGACGAGAAGACCCUAUAGAGUUUUAAUUUAGUUGGGGUGAUUGAAAAAUUUAAUAAACUUUUUUUAUAUUUAAACAUUAAUUUAUGAAUAAUUGAUCCUUUUUUUAAGAUUAAAAGAAAAAAUUACCUUAGGGAUAACAGCGUAAUUUUUUUAGAGAGUUCAAAUCGAAAAAAAAGAUUGCGACCUCGAUGUUGGAUUAAAAUUAAGUCUUGGUGUAGAAGCUAA